AACGCUAGCUACAGGCUUAACACAUGCAAGUCGAGGGGCAUCAGGAACAAAGCUUGCUUUGUUUGCUGGCGACCGGCGCACGGGUGAGUAACGCGUAUCCGACCUACCCAUAUCUCGGGCACAGCCGCUCGAAAGAGCGAUUGAUUCCCGAUAUGUCCUUGGAGUAGAUUCAAUGAUGAAAGAUUCAUCGGUUAUGGAUGGGGAUGCGUAAGAUUAGGUAGUAGGCGGGGUAACGGCCCACCUAGCCGACGAUCUUUAGGGGUUCUGAGAGGAAGGUCCCCCACACUGGUACUGAGACACGGACCAGACUCCUACGGGAGGCAGCAGUGAGGAAUAUUGGUCAAUGGGCGGAAGCCUGAACCAGCCAAGUAGCGUGAAGGAUUACAGCCCUACGGGUUUUAAACUUCUUUUAUAUGAGAGUAAUGUGCACUACGUGUAGUGUAUUGCAAGUAUCAUAUGAAUAAGCAUCGGCUAACUCCGUGCCAGCAGCCGCGGUAAUACGGAGGAUGCGAGCGUUAUCCGGAUUUAUUGGGUUUAAAGGGAGCGUAGGCGGGAUAUUAAGUCAGUCGUCAAAGCCUGUGGCUCAACCACAGCCCGCGAUUGAUACUGGUAACCUUGAGUGCGGAUGAGGUGGAUGGAAUUCGUGGUGUAGCGGUGAAAUGCUUAGAUAUCACGAAGAACUCCGAUUG
rnacentral:rRNA from 1 species